GUUAAAUUAUUCUGUGUGCAUUUAUUUUUGAAUUUGAAACGAAAGCGAGAACAUUUAUCUUAUCUCAACUUGAAGGAAAUUUGUGGAACUUUUCUUAUUCAACUCUCGCAAUGGAAUUCCAACCGGAAGUAAACAAUGUGGAACAUAUGGCACUAAAUAAUCCGAUCAUUUUGACGGAGAUAUUCAAACAGGCCGCAACCC